UCCUGGAGGUCUGGCUACUGUCAAGCUAAAGUUGUCUUUUGCCUCUAGCUAACUACUAACGUUGAGGCAGUUGAGUUCCUGGAAGAAGGUCAUUCUGCCUCUCUCAAGGACUUGUCAAUGGAUUAAGCAUCUGAAUUGAGGAUCCUGUCCCAGAAGCCCAUGAACCAGCUUGAUGAAAUAAACACAGAAGUCUUGGAAGCCAUGGGCUGGAGAUAAAGCCACAAAAUGGAACAAGCCCAGAGCCCAGAAUCACCACACGAGCAAGAGCUACCUACCAAUCAGGAACACCAGUUUUGGAAGUUAUGUAAAAACUAAACUUCUGUCGUGUUUGAGCUAUUUCAUAGUUUGGAGUUAUUUGUGACAGCAGGUAGCAUUUCUUUGUCUAAUGUGUUUAACUUCCAGCAUUUGCAAUUAAGAGAUAUUUUUGCAUUUAGAAUGUUCAGCAAGAUUUCAGGACUUGCAAUGUGGAAAGCUUGAGCGCCAUGAUUUUGAUGAAUAACAGAAUUAUUGUCCUACAUAGAAUUGUAAUCACAUGGGUAUCAGCGUGACCUUUUCAGGAAUGAAGCUUAAAGUGUAGUGUACCUCUCCCUUUUGGUCCCCUUAGACUAAGAAUAUUCCUCUUCUUGAGCAGGGCAUAGACCUGGCAUAGAUUUGAGCAGGGCAUGGACCAACCUGGGUGCAUCCUCAUGAGGAACGAAAGGAGGGUAGGGAGGACAUGAUCACUCAGGGUGUCUGUGUUGAUGCUCUUCUCAUAUCUGUUUUGUACUUGAUAAAGCUUGUGAGUAAGAACACUAGGUGAUUUUUGCUAUCCAAAACCUGAGCCCCAGCCUUCUUUGAUCAUUUAUAUGUGCAACCACUGUGUAUAUGAAGUAGAAUUUAUUGUAUAAUAAUCAAAAAGCAACUUUAUUUUUAUUUUCAUUGCAUUUCUGAGAGUACACUGUGAGUGCUCUUUUGUCCUCUGCUCCUGAAUUAAAUUUAGGGAAUGUCUGAGUAUUAUCAUAUAAUAUAUAGGUUCAAUUCAGUAAUUACUAUGGCUAGUUAAUUCACUGUUGUGAUUAAAAUUUUAAAAUGCCUUUUAAGAUUCACAUUUGGUCCACUUCAUUCUUCUGCAGGAUAACUAUCUGCAGUGGGAGAGUGGAGCAUUUCUUUCCAUUCCUUGUACUUGAAACAAGUUAGAAGUGUUUAGACUGAGAGGUAUAAAAGAUCUGUUGAUAUUAUUAUGUGGAAAUAUAAUACCUGAUAUCUAAUAACCCAAAGGUAUAAAGUUAACAUAACAAAAGUGAGAAUGUGUACAUAGAGGAA